AAAAAAAUAAAACUAACAGCUUACCCAGUCACUGCUAAAUGUCACCAUGGAUUAAGGAUGCCCAUGGGCCCUAGGCAGGGUGCCAGGACAAUGUGUCUGUGAGUGUUUUGUGUGAGAGUGUGUGUAGUGACUGAGUAUUGUGUGUUUGGAAGGGGCUAAGAGCCGUAUGGUGUGGGCUGAGUGUGUCUGUUUGUCUAGCAUUAUGUAACUGCAUAUGGGCCUGAGAGUGUGUGUGCAUGCAUUUUGACUGACUGUGUCUUUGUCUCUUGCACUGUGUAUCUGUG